UACCAUGCAAGUCGUACGAGAACUCUUCUGCUUGCAGAAGAUAGUAAAGUGGCGCACGGGUGAGUAACGCGUGGGUAAUCUACCUUCGACUCGGGGAUAACAUUGCGAAAGCGAUGCUAAUACCGGAUGACAUCCUGACACCUUCGGGUGUUUGGAUCAAAGGUGGUCUCUACAUGUAAGCUAUUGAUCGAAGAUGAGCCCGCGUACCAUUAGCUUGUUGGUAGGGUAAUGGCCUACCAAGGCAGCGAUGGUUAGCUGGUCUGAGAGGAUGAUCAGCCACACUGGAACUGACACACGGUCCAGACUCCUACGGGAGGCAGCAGUGAGGAAUUUUGCGCAAUGGGGGAAACCCUGACGCAGCAACGCCGCGUGAGUGAUGAAGGCUUUCGGGUCGUAAAGCUCUGUCGAGUGGGAAGAACAAGCCUGAUGCCAAUAUCAUCAGGAACUGACGGUACCACUGAAGGAAGCACCGGCUAACUCCGUGCCAGCAGCCGCGGUAAUACGGGGGGUGCAAGCGUUAUUCGGAAUUAUUGGGCGUAAAGGGCGCGUAGGCGGCUUUGUAAGUCAGAUGUGAAAUCCCGGGGCUUAACCCCGGAAGUGCAUUUGAAACUAUAG
rnacentral:rRNA from 1 species